UACGUAGGGUGCGAGCGUUGUCCGGAUUUAUUGGGCGUAAAGGGCUCGUAGGCGGCGUGUCGCGUCGGGAGUGAAAGACCGGGGCUUAACCCCGGUUCUGCUUCCGGUACGGGCAUGCUGGAGUGUGGCAGGGGAGACUGGAAGUUCCUGGUGUAGCGGUGGAAUGCGCAGAUAUCAGGAAGAACACCCGUGGCUAAGGCGGCUCUCUAGUACGGUACUGACGCUGAGACGCGAAAGCGUGGGGAGCGAACAGG
rnacentral:rRNA from 1 species